ensembl:lncRNA
GAGGACUCCCAGAGGCAUGAAUGUGUUUGAGUCUCCAGGUUCCCUCUCAUUCACCUUCUGUUUCUAUGAAGCCUAUUUUCCUGGCUCCUCUGGCAGCUAUGCAGCACCUGGGGGUUUCCUGGAGGCAGCCAGCCAGUAGAAAGAGUAGGAAAGAAGAUCCAGAAUGCAGCAGUCUUCACAAACCCUAUGUGAAAAAUAUACUUUGGACUGAAUAAUUGGGCAGAAGCAACAUGAACUAAUUUUCACUGGAGUGGCUGGAAAUGUAGUUGUGGCACUUCUCAGAACUGCUCUCUUACUGAAAAAAAACUGUUUGGAAUAUGAAGCCUCCCUGUGCUGUGACAGAUCAGUAAGGUUGGAAAGGACCACUAGGAUCACCAAGUCCAACCACAGCCCAUGCACACCAUGCCCGCUAACCACAUCUGUCAGUGCCACACCUAUACAUGUGUUGAACACCUCCAGGGACGGUGACUCCACCACCUCCCUGUGCAGCCUGUGCCACUGCCUCACCGCUCUUUCUGAGAAGAAAUGGUUCCUAAUAUCCAACCUGAAGUUAGCCUGUGCAACUCUGGCAAAGGCGUGCUAUAGUUACAGGCAAAAGAUCCAUCUUCCAUGUGAACUGUCUUCUCUGAAAGUUCCUGUAGUCAGUGUGAAGAGCAAAGUUUUGGAUUAAAAAAAGGAAAAUUUGUUGUCUACAGGAAGAAGCUACUAAACCAUGACUGAUGGUGUCAUGAAAUUACUAUAUUAUUCUAUACAACAGGGGUUGUACCUGUGCCCCACAGGUAAAGAAAUCUGUGGGGAGGAAAACUUCUGAAAAGUUACGUUUGUGCCUUUGUAAAUGGCAAACAUAAUACGCGUUAUUGCAAAAGUCAAUUCAGUAUUUCAUGAAGGGUGUUGCACUUAAAUGUGAUAGUAUGCCAGCUCACUCCGGCAUAGCAUGGAAAUUUCUGUGCAGAAGUCAUAAUAAGACUCUCUGGAAACCUUCCUUUCACAGCCUAUAAAUAGCAGAGACCUCCAGCCCAUAAAGAGUUACUAUGUUUCUGGCACUUUAUGAGCUCUAAGGGAAGUUGUAAAAUGAGGCUUUAACAACUUCGUCAUGGAACUGGAAGGAGAAAAACAUUACUUUAAUACACGGGAGAAGAAGGGAGCAAGAGUUCAGAAAAGACGUGAGUGAGAGGGUAUCUUCAGAAGACCUGGAGAGGAGGCUGCCUGGAUGUGGUCUGAAGGCUUGUGUUUGAAGGCUGAAGACCCUGGACGGCAAAG